UCUUUGUCAAUGAUGUAUUCUAUAAAAAUGUCUGAACUUAUGAAUUUCAGUGAUUCUUAUUUAUUUUUUAACUGAGACAAAGA
rnacentral:snoRNA from 1 species